rnacentral:rRNA from 1 species
UGGGGAAUUUUGCACAAUGGGGGAACCCCUGAUGCAGCGACGCCGCGUGAUUUAGUAGGCCUUCGGGUUGUAAAAAUCUUUUGUAGGGGAAGAAAAUGACAGUACCAUACGAAUAAGGACCGGCUAAUUACGUGCCAGCAGCCGCGGUAAUACGUAAGGUCCGAGCGUUGUCCGGAAUCAUUGGGCGUAAAGGGUACGUAGGCGGAUAAGCAAGUUAGAAGUGAAAUCCUAUAGCUCAACUAUAGUAAGCUUUUAAAACUGCUCAUCUUGAGGUAUGGAAGGGAAAGUGGAAUUCCUAGUGUAGCGGUGAAAUGCGCAGAUAUUAGGAGGAAUACCGGUGGCGAAGGCGACUUUCUGGCCAUAAACUGACGCUGAGGUACGAAAGCGUGGGUAGCAAACAGG